rnacentral:rRNA from 1 species
UAGGGAAUCUUCCACAAUGGACGCAAGUCUGAUGGAGCAACGCCGCGUGAGUGAAGAAGGUUUUCGGAUCGUAAAGCUCUGUUGUUGGUGAAGAAGGAUAGAGGUAGUAACUGGCCUUUAUUUGACGGUAAUCAACCAGAAAGUCACGGCUAACUACGUUCCAGCAGCCGCGGUAAUACGUAGGUGGCAGGCGUUGUCCGGAUUUAUUGGGCGGAAAGCGAGCGCAGGCGGAAGAAUAAGUCUGAUGUGAAAGCCCACGGCUUAACCGAGGAACUGCAUCGGAAACUGUUGGUCUUGAGUGCAGAAGAGGAGAGUGGAACUCCAUGUGUAGCGGUGAAAUGCGUAGAUAUAUGGAAGAACACCAGUGGCGAAGGCGACUCUCUGGUCUGCAACUGACGCUGAGGCUCGAAAGCAUGGGGAGCGAACAGG